UGUGAUACGGGGGGCAGCAGUGGGGAAUAUUGGACAAUGGGGGGAACCCUGAUCCAGCGACGCCGCGUGAGUGAAGAAGUAUUUCGGUAUGUAAAGCUCUAUCAGCAGGGAAGAAGAUGACGGUACCUGACUAAGAAGCCCCGGCUAACUACGUGCCAGCAGCCGCGGUAAUACGUAGGGGGCAAGCGUUAUCCGGAUUUACUGGGUGUAAAGGGAGCGUAGACGGCGAUGCAAGUCUGAAGUGAAAGCCCGGGGCUCAACCGCGGGACUGCUUUGGAAACUGUUAAGCUGGAGUGCAGGAGAGG
rnacentral:rRNA from 1 species